GACGAACCGUGCGAACGUUGUUCGGAUUCACUGGGCUUAAAGGGCGCGUAGGCGGGCGGUCAAGUCAGGGGUGAAAUCUUUCGGCUCAACCGGAAAAGUGCCUUUGAUACUGGCCGUCUCGAGGGAGGUAGGGGCAUGCGGAACUUCCGGUGGAGCGGUGAAAUGCGUAGAUAUCGAGAGGAACACCUGCGGCGAAGGCGGGUUGCUGGGCUGACACUGACGCUGAUGCGCGAAAGCCAGGGGAGCGAACGGG
rnacentral:rRNA from 1 species